rnacentral:rRNA from 1 species
CCUACGGGGGGCAGCAGUAGGGAAUAUUGCACAAUGGGGGAAACCCUGAUGCAGCAACGCCGCGUGAGUGAAGAAGGAUUUCGGUACGUAAAGCCCUAUCAGUAGGGAAGAAAAUGACGGUAUCUGACUAAGAAGCCCCGGCUAACUCCGUGCCAGCAGCCGCGGUAAUACGGAGGGUGCAGGCGUUAUCCGGAUUUACUGGGUGUAAAGAGAGCGUAGACGGGGGCGCAAGUCUGGAGUGAAAUCCCAUGGCUUAACUACGGAACUGCAUUGGAAACUGUGCAGCUGGAGUGCAGGAGAGGUAGGCGGAAUUCUUAGUGUAGCGGUGAAAUGCGUAGAUAUUAGGAGGAACACUAGUGGCGAAGGCGGCUUACUGGACUGUAACUGACGUUGAGGCUCGAAAGCGUGGGGAGCAAACAGGAUUAGAUACCCCUGUAGUC